GUCCACGCCGUAAACGAUGAAUGCCAGUCGUCUGCAAGCAUGCUUGUCGGUGACACACCUAACGGAUUAAGCAUUCCGCCUGGGGAGUACGGUCGCAAGAUUAAAACUCAAAGUAAUUGACGGGGCCCGCACAAGCGGUGGAGCAUGUGGUUUAAUUCGAAGCAACGCGCAGAACCUUACCAACCCUUGACAUGGGUAUCGCGGAUUUCAGAGAUGAUUUCCUUCAGUUCGGCUGGAUACCACACAGGUGCUGCAUGGCUGUCGU
rnacentral:rRNA from 1 species